UGUGGUAGCAUAAUCACUAGGUUUUUAAUUUGAAUUUUGUAUGAAUGAUUUAUCAAGAGAAAAACCGUCUUUAUAUUAAAGUUUGAAUUAACUUUUAAGUGAAAAGGCUGAAUAUUCCAAACGGACCAUAAAACCCUAUAAAUCCUUACCUUACUUGUAAAUAUUUUAUUUAAUUUUGUCGCCUCACCAUACAAAUUUAAUUUUUUGUUAUGUUGGGGAGACAAAAUCUAUAAUUUAUAUUAACUGCUGGAAGAUAAAUCAAUAACUUAUCGCCCCCAUUGUAAAACAUCCCCUCUACACAUUAAAAGACCCUUUUACCUUACGGAUAACCACGUUUUUUUUUUUGACACUUCAUAUCUAAAAAAUUCAUUUUAACAUC
rnacentral:rRNA from 1 species